UACGUAGGUGGCAAGCGUUGUCCGGAUUUAUUGGGUUUAAAGGGUGCGUAGGCGGCCUAUUAAGUCAGUGGUGAAAUAUCUCAGCUUAACUGAGAAGGUGCCAAUGAUACUGAUGGGCUUGAGUACAGAUGAGGUAGGCGGAAUUGACGGUGUAGCGGUGAAAUGCUUAGAUAUCGUCAAGAACACCUAUAGCGAAGGCAGCUUACUAGGCUGUAACUGACGCUGAGGCACGAAAGUGUGGGGAUCAAACAGG
rnacentral:rRNA from 1 species